GGAAUUUGAAAUUAUAAAUCUAUUUGUUCUUCAUUUUUUUUGUCCUUGGAACAAAGCUGAACAAAAUCAUAUUAAAUAUGUUUGAUAGGGAAUAUCUAUAACAUAGUUCUAGGUGGUGAAAAUGAACCGAACCGAAUGGAUCCAAGCUUUGAAGGGCUCAAGCUUGGUUCGUCAAAGUUUUUUUAAGCUCGAGCCAAAUAUCAAUAAGCUCAAGCUUGGCUCGUUUAAAAAACGAAUUGAGCCAAGCUGAACUUUUAUUGAACCGAGUCAUAAGCAGAUCGUGAAUUGCUCGACUAAUUUACAGCCCUAGUGAGUUUUAGAUUUAGGCUUAUAAAGUUCAAACUACAUAGUUAUGAUUAGCUCUCAUAUAAAAAUUAACUUAAUUUUCAUAAAAAAUUAAAUUUAAA
rnacentral:misc_RNA from 1 species